rnacentral:rRNA from 1 species
GACGAACGCUGGCGGCGUGCUUAACACAUGCCAGUCGAACGGAAAGGCCCUGCUUUUGUGGGGUGCUCGAGUGGCGAACGGGUGAGUAACACGUGAGUAACCUGCCCUUGACUUUGGGAUAACUUCAGGAAACUGGGGCUAAUACCGGAUAGGAGCUCCUGCUGCAUGGUGGGGGUUGGAAAGUUUCGGCGGUUGGGGAUGGACUCGCGGCUUAUCAGCUUGUUGGUGGGGUAGUGGCUUACCAAGGCUUUGACGGGUAGCCGGCCUGAGAGGGUGACCGGCCACCAUGGGGACGAGGAACGGCCCAGACCCCUAACGGAGGCAACAGUUGGGAAUAUUGCCAAAAGGGCCGGAGGCGGGUGCAGCAACGCCCGGUGCGGGAUGACGGCCUUCGGGGUUGAAACCCGUUUCGGCUUUGGCGAAACGUGAGUGAACGGAAUGGGUAAAGAAGCCCCGGCUAACUACGUG